CUACAUUCCAAAAUGCAGUUAACUCCUAUUUCAAAGCCUGUAGCAACAACUUUGGAGAUGAAACAUUAAAAGGACAGUGAGCUUCAUCAUUAUGGAAGUAUGAAAUAACAUCAACCUUCAAGUAAGACAGAUGUUCACGACAUCUGGACAGCAUGUCACCUUGGUAUACUGUCCUUGGGAGGGAAGGACAAAGCAAGCUUCCAUGAAAUGAAAUAUGAGGUAUUACUUUCGGAGCAACCUACAUGUAUGUGACCCAAGACAAUUCCUCUUCACUCAAUGCAGCCCAGGCAAACCGAAGUGUUGGACACUCAUGCUAUACACUGUAUCUACCACAGCUACUUCCCUCAGGCACUGAGUAACUUUCUCUAUGGUGGUCCAUUUGCCUGGGUUACGUAUCAGG
ensembl:lncRNA